CUCCUGACAGUCAUCACAUUCACGCAACUUAAAUGGCUGCAGCUGUUUGGGUGAGAACUCAGGGCAAUCUCCUGCCCACGGCUAAAGUGGUCCAGGGGCCACUGAGCCUAAGCAGACAUUGAAGGGAGCCAUGAUGUGAGUGGGGUCCUCCAGCAUUACUGGAAAGGCAAAGGAAGGGUCCAGAAAGGAAAACCAGCCUCAUUCUGACACUGUCCUGAAAAGGAGGAGAAGGGCAGAGGUGGCUCCUCCUGGGGCUCUGAGGGAGGGAGGGAGCUGCUGGUGCAGGAAUGGCUGUCAGACCAGCCUGGAGGUAGCAGGCCCAGCCAGCUCACACCUCCUCCAGAAGUUCCAUACUCAGCUGGGACAGGAGCAAGCUCAAGACAGGAAGAGGAGGAGACUGAGUUCAUGGAGACCUUGAGAACAGGGAAAGUGUCACAGCUGUGAUGUCACCAGCAAGGCCCCUGGCAGAGCUGUGGAGGCUGCAGCUGCUCUAACUCUGCAGAUUGGAAUCCUGAGCUGGGGCCUGGCCUGACCUGGCUGACUUACCAUGGGCUCCAGGCUGCUCUGCUGUGUGGCCCUCUGUCUCCUGGGAUCAGGCCCCUUGGACUCCGAAGUUUCCCAGACUCCAAAAUAUCUCCUUGCACAAACAGGAAAGAAGCAGUUCCUUAAAUGUGAGCAAAAUCUUGGUCACAAUGCUAUGUACUGGUAUAAGCAGGACUCCAAGCAAUCACUGAAGAUGAUGUUUAGCUUCUAUAAUAAGGGAAUGACUGUAAAUGAAACGGUUCCAAGUCGCUUCUCACCUGAAUCUCCAGACAACGCUCAUUUAAACCUUCAUGUCAAGUCCCUGGAGCCAGAGGAUUCUGCCUUGUAUCUCUGUGCCAGCAGCCAAGACACAGCCCUGCAGAGUCACCAGCUGCCCGUGCACAAACCUGCCAGGCAGCCAGGAAGCUGUGGUGACAAUGAGUUCCCUGUGCCUGAGGCUCUGCUCUCCAUUCCUGUGGGCCCCGUGGAGUGUCAGUGUACAGCAGCCUCCAGGGCGCCUGGUGGGCAGCUGAGUUCUCCAACACAGAGCCCUGCAGAAUCCCUCUGGUCAGCUGAGCAGGGACUCCACUAGCGUUAGCUGUCCAUCCAAAUCCACCAAUGAUGGGGGACUGAAGAUCUUGACAUGGAGCAGCUGUUCAUUGUCCUCUUCUGCUGUGCAUAUGGCCACACCUUGCCCAUUACGUUAUCAAUAAAGACACAGUUGUUA